rnacentral:tRNA from 1 species
GCCUGGGUGGCUCAGUCAGUUAAGCAUCUGACUUUGGCUCAGGUCAUGAUCUCGCAGUUCGUGGGUUCGAGCCCCACGUCAGGCU